UUACCUACGGGUGGCUGCAGUAGGGAAUAUUGGUAAUCUGCGAAAGCGGGAACCAGCAACGCCGCGUGCACGAUGAAGGCCUUCGGGUCGUAAAGUGCUUUUAGAGAGGAUGAGGAAGGACAGUACUUUCUGAAUAAGCCUCGGCUAACUACGUGCCAGCAGCCGCGGUAAAACGUAGGAGGCUAGCGUUAUCCGGAUUUACUGGGCGUAAAGCGCGUGCAGGUGGUCUUGUAAGUUGGAUGUGAAAGCUCCCGGCUUAACUGGGAGAGGUCGUUCAAAACUGCAGGACUUGAGAUUGGUAGAGGGAGGUGGAAUUCCGGGUGUAGUGGUGAAAUGCGUAGAUAUCCGGAGGAACACCAGUGGCGAAAGCGGCCUCCUGGACCAAUUCUGACACUCAGACGCGAAAGCUAAGGUAGCAAACGGGAUUAGAUACCCCGGUAGUC
rnacentral:rRNA from 1 species